AUGUGGAGGAAUGGAGUGACAGUCACAAAACAUGGUGUUACUGCAAAUUUCAUUGAUGUAACAAUUGAUGAUGGAAGAAAAUGGAGGUGUACAUGCUUCUAUGGAGAGCCAGCGAAAGAGAAUAAACAUAAAUCAUGGGAUUACCUACGUGCACUGCACCAACUAAGGGAUGAACCAUGGAUAGCAUUCGGUGACUUUAGUGAAAUUUUAUUCAUGCAUUAGAAGGAAGGUGGAGCAGCUAGAGAGCAAAGAACCAUGCAAGCAUUCAGGGACAUUCUAUAUGAAUGUGAGCUUGAAGAUAUGGAGGCUACGAGGGACGUUUAUACAUAGAGUAGAGGGACGGUUAAGGAAAGGCUUGAUAGAGCUAUUUGCAACUCACGGUGGAGUCAGUUUUUUCCUAAUGCAGGGGUCAUCAACGGUGAAAUGACUAAGUCGGAUCACCGGCCGUUGGUG
rnacentral:rRNA from 1 species